rnacentral:rRNA from 1 species
UUAGUGGCGGACGGGUGAGUAACGCGUGGAUAACCUGCCGUAUACAGGGGGAUAACACUUAGAAAUAGGUGCUAAUACCGCAUAAGCGCACGGUUCCGCAUGGAACAGUGUGAAAAACUCCGGUGGUAUACGAUGGAUCCGCGUCUGAUUAGCCAGUUGGCGGGGUAACGGCCCACCAAAGCGACGAUCAGUAGCCGGCCUGAGAGGGCGACCGGCCACAUUGGGACUGAGACACGGCCCAAACUCCUACGGGAGGCAGCAG